GUAGGUGAACCUGCGGAAGGAUCAUUGCCACACACGAUCCAAGAUCGACACAUUAUUGUGAACUGUUUAAAUGUUAUGAGAGUGUAUUGUUUUUUGUGUGUAUUUUAACUUUAAUUGGUUAUUUGCUACAAAUCAAUGUCUCUCUUUUAUUACACCAUUAUUUUACCAACAUGAAUUAUACAUUGGAACAUAAAAGAGUUAUCAAUUUUUUGAUAACACUAGAUAUAUUAAUUGUAAAAACAACUUUUAACAACGGAUAUCUAGGUUCUU
rnacentral:misc_RNA from 1 species